GGAGCCAGCGCCCCAGAGCCACGCUGGGAGAAGAGCAAGGCUGGGACUGACACCGGCGGCGAAGAAACUCCUUGGGGGUGGGGACAGAGGGCUUGGUGAGAGCAACUCAUCCAAUCCAGAGUCAGAGACAGGGCUGAGAGGGAAGUGGCUGAGAGCUCACGGGCACCCCCUCGGCCCCCGAGAGGGAGCCCACAGCUGUCGGGGGAGCCGCCACUGCUGCUGCCGCCGCCGCCGCCGCAGCUGCCGCCGCCGCCGCCGCCAUAGGACAGACCUCACCGGUACCUGCACAGCAAGAAACACCAGGAGAUCACAGUACAAUCUGAAAGGCAAGAGCCUCGCCCCCUGCCCCAGACUCAUUCCCAGACUCCCUCCCCUGGGACACAGCCGUUGCUCACUUCCUGUUUGGUCCCCAGAGGCCUCCGCCUGCAUCCUUACCCAGUUGUCCUGAAGGGCCUUCCCUGUCCCCAGAAGUCUCCCUAACUUCAGUGAUGGAUGGGCAUCCCUGGCCUUCCUGAGAUCCCCUAUUGGGCCCUUUGAGCCCCCUCGUCCCACACAACCCAUCCCACCCCCCCCAGCCAUGCCCCACGCCUUGCCUGGUGGGUGCGGGGGUCCCCCUCAGCAGGUGGGCUGUGGCUGGGGGGCGUCUCCCGGGACAGGGGGGGCGGCCCCCCCCAGAUGGGUCUGCAUGUGGCCGGCCAGCUGGGCAGGGGUCUUGCAGUGCACGCUGCACAGCUUGCACAGGAUGCGGUCAGCCCGCGGGGCCUGGAGCCCGUGGUCCUUCACCGCGUGGAUGCGCAGGAGCCGAAGAGCAGAACAUGUGGCCACACAGCUGAAACCCUGGCUUCCAACCCUUGGGAACUGGCUCUUGACCACUCCUUCCCCACAGCAGGCUCUAGAUGCCACGAGCUCUGGACUACAACACCUUUAACCCACGUCUGUGGAAGGGCCUCUGGCUUUGUCCCCUACCCAUUGUCCCUGGCCCUCCCAGCAUCUUUCAGCAUGUACCUUUGUUGCAGAGCUCACAGACAUGGUGAGGGCCCUGGCUGUGCACCUUCAUGUGGUCCGAAAUAUAAGCCGAGCUCAGCAUCUUGCCACACACAUGA